UCUCCACCAAAUCUGUUAGCUUAACUUUCAGCUAGCAGGUUGCUAUGCGAAAGGGGGGGACCUUUGACAUGUCUUGAACUGAACAGAUCUUUCCCAAAUGAAGAGAGAGCAAGGAUACAACACAGGCCGGGACAUAAAUUUAGUGCCUUGCUGAAAGCUGCAUUCAUUUGCACCCAGGUUAUCGCUCUCCGUUCCCAGAGGACCUUGCGAGAGAAGCUGGAGGAACGCUUUGGAGGCGGGUUUGAGCUCCGCAGCUGGUCUCGCCUGCCACAUGGAUCAGGCCUGGGCAACCUGGCUGUCCUGGGCAACUGCAGGAGCAAAUACAGGCGGCAGAAGGUGGUCAUGGCCCCCGGGUGUGAGCCUUCGACUGUCCAGCGCAUGAUGGAGGGACUCCAGCCUCACGGCAGUGGGCAACGUCUGGCUGGGGCUGGGGCUGGAGGCGGGGGCUUUCUCUGCCUCUUAACAAAGCAGCCAAGGAUGCAGGGGGUCUUGCAAAGGAUUCUGGCAGAAACAGAGGAGAGUUCAGCCAGCAGUCACCACCCCCCUGUAGAAACCACGGCAGGGCUUGGCAUCCAGGGUGCUGAGGAACAAGCCCUCCAUGGCUGCGUAGGAGAUGGGAAGUGGAGCUCAGUGGUCCUUCCUAGGUAGGAAUAAGAGCCGUGGUCUAUUCCAUUGCAAGCUGCAUGACCCACCAAGCUAAACUGGGUGUGUGUGUGUGUGUGUGUGUUAUUUACUGGGUGGAAGGGUAGCAAAGACAUGUUUUUUUAAAAAAUGUUGUGAUCGAUUUCUGCCGCAGCCUGAAAAUGUAUUCAUCAGCAUGCCUUCCUUUCAGGGACUGGGAAACUUCAGGCUCCACACGGAGCAGUAGGUGCUGCAGCUGUGAGCCCUUCUUGGGCCUCUUCUAGCUCCCCCCUUCCCCUCUGUUAUAUCUGAUCUCUGCAGUAGCCCUUGGGGGAGGAAGAGGGCUGCUUUCAAAGGAGUCUGCCAUCAAAGUCUCCUCCCUAUAAAAGGUCCGGACCCCAUCAGGCUGUGCUGAACUGCCGUCGCCUCUAUUUCGCCCCACCCCUCUUCCCCAUCUAGGGUCAGAAGCUCUGCAGGUGACUCGGGAGUUCACCUAGGAUUGCCUGCAGGACGGGAGAUGCUGCUGGCCCAGAUGGUUGCGGCGGGCUCUCCAUUUCCCCACAUUUGCUGAAGCAACAGCACACUCACAAGAAAUGUUUCGUGAGAUGCACGUGGAGGAUGAGGGCCUUGCCCUGUCUGGUGACCCAAAUCGCAGCAGCUCGAAGACUCCUUGCAGAGGCAGGGGGGCUGAGGCGAGGGUGGGCUGAAGGGCCUCGCUGGCUUGGGAAUCUCCGCCUCGGGUUCCUUCCCAGGACCUGCCCUCGUGGUCCACCUCUCCAGCUUCCUCCUGGGGCAAUGAGUGUCAGUCAGGCCGUUUGAUUGGUUUGGGUGUCAGGGGCGGGCUGCUUGCUGCAGACCAAUGCUGACUAGAGCAGGAGUGUAGAGAUGGUUCUGGUCCCAUUAAGAACGUCUUCUGUAGCAGCUGAUCUGCUUCUUUCCACCUCCCCCUUCUAGGCAGCCUCCUGUUUGAGUAAAAGUUCUGCCUGCCUUUUCCGUUUAGUUCCUGAGGUCCUUGCGUUCCAGGGUCGUCCCAAGCCUCUCUGUUCAGCUCCCAAUUUUUCUCCUCUAUCCUUCCUUCUUUCUCAUUUCUCAGGUUGCCAUAUCCCACCCACCCCCCUCCAUUCCCUGCCAUCACUCAACCAUUUACAACUGAGAACUCCUGGCCAAUCCCCAUAAGGCUAUUUCAGAUCAAGUGGUCUGAAGCGAAUAGAAGUGUGAGUUUAUUGAGUUCCAUAAAACUAAGAAGACCCGGGUGGGACCUGGGUAAAAAAGGAGGAUUGGACCAAUUCCACAAUUUAUUGGAUGAAAAGAACUGCCCUGUUGGACCUGCGGUUCGCGCAGAGGCUCAAAUCGGAUGAACAAGGAACGACGUCGCUGUUUUUGUCUCUCCUGCCAAUCACCAGGAUGUUCUCUUUUAAAAGUGAAAAAUUCAUGAUCCACAACAAAUUUCUACAAUUAUACACUAUGAAACUGAUUAAUGUUUAUAUAAUCACCAACA